rnacentral:rRNA from 1 species
AUUGAACGCUGGCGGCAGGCCUAACACAUGCAAGUCGAACGAGUGGCGGACGGGUGAGUAAUGUGUGGGAAACUGCCUGAUGGAGGGGGAUAACUACUGGAAACGGUAGCUAAUACCGCAUACCAUCAGAUGUGCCCAGAUGGGAUUAGCUUGUUGGUGGGGUAACGGGUGACCAAGGCGGCGAUCCCUAGCUGGUCGGAGAGGAUGACCGGCCACACUGGAACUGAGACACGGUCCAGACUCCUACGGUAGGCAGCAGUGGGGAAUAUUGCACAAUGGGCGCAAGCCUGAUGCAGCCAGGCCGCGGGUAUGAAGAAGGCCUUCGGGUUGUAAAGUACUUUCAGCGGUGAGGCGUUACCCGCAGAAGAAGCACCGGCUAACUCCGUGCCAGCAGCCGCGGUAAUUC